GUUUCAUAUCACAACAGUUUUUGUUUUUAUCAUUAUCAGAAAAACAUAUUGCAGCAAUAUCACAGGAGACUGUUAUAAAACAGAUACACAUGGGUUAGUAUAUCAUUUUUUCAUUGCUGUUAUUGCUUAAAUGUUACACUUUUACGUCUGCAUGUAUACUUUUGUUUUCCACAUUAUGCUUUCCCAAAACCUUUACAAUUGAACGAUUGCUAUAAUAUCAGAUUAUAGCAUGACAUUUUUCAUAUCGCAUGCAUUAACAACUCUAGGUUCAAUAUCAACCCGAGAGUCGCAUGGCGCAAGGGCUGAUAUUGACCGAGGGCUGAUAAUACAUGCAAUAUGAAAAAUGAGAUGUUAUGAUAUCUUUAUCUUAUACUUCAACAAUGGAAAAAAAUAACAGAUUAAUAUAUUGAUCCUUUUACAUGGUUGUCAAAUAGAAGUUCAAAGAGUGAAAAGUUCACGGAUGUCAGACCCCAAAUGUAGUACAUUCGAUAUGAAAUCUUUCUAUCAUCUGACUCAACAAUGAACAAAAAAGGCAGUAUGAUAUAUUUUGAUAUGGACAAUAAAAGAAUAAUUCAACAAUAUACAUAAUGCACACUGUUUGGAAAAGUAAUUUUUAAAGAAUCAGUAUAAAUUAUGUUUAAAAAUGCAUUUAUUUUAUCAUAUGUAUAUUGUUGGUUUUUUUUCUCUCCAUUUUUCACAAUAUACUUUCCAGUAUCCAAAUAAUUGUUUUGUACCCUACUCUCUAAUGAUUUUCAGUGAGGUGCAUUUUCGAUAACGUUACGGAAAGGCAUGUGAUAAAAAGUCGAAGCAUUUGAUAAACUUUUCAUAUCAGCCCGCUAUGCACCAAUUCGUAAAAUAUGUAAAUUUAUUGUUAUUAUCAUACGGUAAAAUUCAUAUGUUAUUUAGUCUAAGUAUAUGAUUAACGAAGUUAUUAUAUACUUAGACUAAAUAACAAAUGAUUUUUAUUGUAUGAUAACAGCAUUUAAUUAACGUAAAUUCCAUAUUUUUCGAAUUGGUGCUUAGAGGGCUGAUAUAAAAAGUUUUUCACAUGCUUCGAUUGUUUUCACAUGCCUUUCCGUAACAUUAUCGCAUGGCAUUCCGGUGAUACGCGUCAUAUUCCGGAAAAUACACCUCAAUGCUACGUUUUCAAUGAAAAACAUUACAAAGUAGUGUACAAAACAUAUUUGGAUACUGAAAAGUAUAUUGUGUAAAAUAAUCUUUAAAAAAUAAACAACAAACAAAUUAUUAAAUAAAUACAUUUUUUUAAAGUUUCAAACAUAAUUUAGAAAGUUACUUUGAAAAAGUUGACUUUUCCAAACAGUGUUCAUUAUGUAUAUUGUUAAAAAAAAUUGUCGAUUCGUCCAUAUUAUAAUGUUUUUCUUCUCUAUUGAGGCAUAUGGUAGAAAGAUUACAUAUCGAAUGUACUAAAUUUGGGGUCCGACGUCCGUGCACUUUUCUAUUUGUGAACUUCCAGUUGAGAACCAGGUAAAAGGAUCAAUAUAUGAAUCUGUUAUUUUUCUCCAUUGUUGAAGCAUAUGAUAAAAAGAUCAUAACAUUUCAUUUUUCCUAUCGCAUGUAUUAUCAGCCCUCGGUCACUAUGUGCCCUCGAGCUAUGUGGCUCCUGGGCUGAUAUUGAACCUAGGGCUGAUAAUACAUGCGAUAUGAAAAAUGCCAUGUAAUAAUCUGAUAUUAUCAAACGACUGUAGCUUAUAAUAGUCUGAUUCUGUUAAUUGUGUUAAAGUUUAAUAGCAAACUUAUUAUCAAAAAAAUCACUUGCUUAUAUUCUUUUUACAUUUGACAUUACGUGUAAUAUUAUUAGAUAAUCACUUAAUGCAAUGUAUUAAAAAUAAAACGAACGUAGGAGAAUGCAGUUGUAUUAGAUAAGGGUUGACUUUAGUGAAUAAAUUUGAACAACACAACGUGCGCAUACUCUGUAAAGUACAGGACAUUUCAUUUUCAGUUCGCUUACAUUUUAAAACUAUGGUCAUAUAAACAGUUUUCUAGAGGCUGGGUGAUAUCGAACUGUUAUGUAACGUGGAUCGUUUUACCUGAUAUAAAUAAACUCCUCAUAUAUACCAGGACUAAAUUUAGUAUAUACGCCAGACGCGCGUUUCGUCUACAAAAGAAUCAUCAGUGACGCUCGAAUCCAAAAAAGUUUAAAAGGCCAAAUAAAGUACGAAGUUGAAGAGCAUUGAGAACCAAAAUUCCUAACAGUUUUGCCAAAUACAGCUAAGAUAAUUCUAAUAAACACAUUCUAGCUGUACAGAGAUAGCAAGACGUCAUCACCAGAACAAAAAUCGUAAAGAGAAAAUCAUGUCAUUACAAGCUUCUCCAGUUACUUCAAAAUCUCCGUGUAUAAAUGCUGAUCCGUCCGUUACUAGGAAUACUUCGAUAAAAGCGAGGCUUGACACUUUUGACCACCAACCACCCUUAAAGUCUCCCAAACAAAUGUACCUUAUCUCAAUUCGAUGUUAUCAGAAAUGCACUGUAUAUCAAGCAAAUGUUAAAACAUUCAAAGUAAAGCUAAAUGCGUAAAGGAAAUACUUUUUUGUAGUCUGCAUCGAGUGUGUUCACUCGAUCCGAUAUUAUAACUGCAUAUUCCAUCUUGCAUUUGCAAUUUUAUUUUAAGAAAUUAAGAUUUUUUAUAAUCAAAAUUAUCAAAACAGAACAUCACAUUUCAAAUUUAGAAACCUAUAUUGUUUUCCAACAUACCUAAUGAUGAUGGAAUACUAUCGUGUAGGGACAUAUUGAACUCUCGCAACACUUUAGAACCACCUACCGAAUGUUAAGUCCAACUGCUUACUCUGGUCCUGAAAUGAUACAAUUUCACCUUUAAUGGUGAACAUUACCUCCAGAUAAACGGGACAGCGGUCGGGACAAAAAUGGCACCGUCUUACGCCAAUAUUUUCAAGGGCAAAUUAGAAAAACAAAUUAUUUCAACAUCUUUAUCCAAACCUCUGUCUUGGUUCCGUUUCAUUGAUGAUGUUGUCAUGAAAUGGAUUGAAUAUCAACAAAAAUUAGAGGAUUUUUAUCAUACAUGCAAACAACGCUUACCAGUCAAUUAAAUUUACAUAUAUUAAAUUUCUGAUGCUAAAAUAUAUUUCUUUCUUUCACAAUCACAUCUCUAAAGGAAGGUGUCAUAUUAACUGACCUCUACUGUAAACCUACAGAUAAACAUCAGUACCUUUCUUCCCAAAGCUGACACCCCAAACACUGUACAAAAAGUAUCCCUUACAGUCAAGCUCUCAGAGUUAAACGGUUUUGCUCCUCUGAGGAGAAUGUCACUAAACGGUUACAAAAAUUUGCGGAUUUUUGACCAAACGAGGUUAUAAGAAAUGGGAUAUAGAUAAAAGGUUUGCACGUGGUAACAAUAACAACCGCGAUAACCUGUUUCAGUACAAAAAGAAAAGGCGCAGCAAUACCCGCCUUUACUAACCUUUCACGUUUGAUCCGUGCCAAUUGCCAAAUCAUUUCCAGUCACCCAAAAUUAUCAAAAUUCUUUCCCAAUCCUCAUGUCUUAGCUUUUCGAAAAACAGCAAGUUUAAACGACUGAUUUGUGAACGCUCACGUCUACUCUAAUACAAGCUGUUCAAAUUCAGGAUGGUGCAAGUCGUGUGGUAACAGAAGAUGUCUGACUUGCCAACAAUACUGAAUACUCCAAAUGGUCUGUAUAUACAAUAUUUGUAAUGUUAAGAGCAAACCCCAGAAUGUUGUAUACCUUCUUCAGCGUCGAUGUGGCAUGCAGUAUGUUGGCGAGACAGAACAGCCAUUCAACAAACGCAGUAAUGGUCAUCGUAGUAACUAUACCUUCAAGCCUGAACUCCACGUAAGUCGUGAUUUGAGAUCACCAGGGCACACCCAAGCUGAUCUCGAAAACCUUACGAUCAUCAUCCUCGAUCACAACGAGGGUCGGUCAAGGGCCUAGAGAAUUGCUCGGGAAAGAUUUUCAAUAAGAAAGCUCAGAAAAGUUUCCCCAGAGGUCAUCAAUGAAAAAACAUAGAACGAGUCACUCAUUUUCCGUGCAAUCACUCUUUCCUGCCAUUACUUGUCUCCAGUAACUCCGGCUUUCGUACUGGACUCUCACAUAUUUCAGGAAUAUUUUAAUUGUACUAGAUUUAAAUAUACUUACGGGUUUGGCAGGGAUGUAAAAGUACGCAGUCACGUUCAAUUAUUUCACCUUAGUCAAAAUUCUCAUUUUUUUAAUCAAUAUCAAACUACUAUUUAUUUGGAAUGUUUAAAUACGCAGUCUCUGUUGUAAUUGCUCUACCUUUGUCAAAUUUGAAAUAUUACACCAACUUAGAUCGGUCCAGGGCUGUUUAUAUUAUUGUGACCUUUUUUUAACGCAGUUGUUGUAACAUCAUAACUGUCUUCACCUUUGGAAUUUUAGAGUUGUGUCAGUUCAUCAUGUUCAUAUCACAAAUAACUAUUAUUUUUAUAUUUGCAUACUAGUAUCAGUGCAGUCUUUGCGUCGUGUUUGGAAAUUUUAAAAUUGUACCAGCGUCUCUGAUGUUCGCUUAAACUGUUUUUUGUUUUUGUUUGUUUGUAUAAAUUUAAGAUUGUUAAAGUGUUAUAAUUAGAUUAGAUUGACACGAUUCAUUUUACAUUUUUACAUUGUGAUCAUACUGAAGAAGGAUAUCAUUCUGUUAUCCGAAAUAUAUAUAGUUACAUUUGUUCAUUUUAUUGUUAUUGUUUUGGUGAUGUUGUACCCUUUUAGACUGGUUAUAUAUUGUGUAGUAUACUGUCUCAUAUUUAUAUGAUCCAUCGCCCCAUAAAAUUUAUCGUUGGCUAUUUAUUCAGUCAGUUAAUAUAUGUAUGCAUAAGGUAUCAGUUUUUACAAACUCAUCCUAGAAUCCAACAUGAAAUUAUGUCUACAAAAGACUCAUCAGUGACGUUCAAAUCAAGCAAAGUCAAAAAGGCCGAAAAAAGUAUGGAGUUGAAGAGCAUUGGGGAUCAAAAUGUCUUUUGUCAAACAUAGCUAAGGUAAGCUUUUCCUGAGAUAGAUAAUCCUUAGUACUUUAAAAGUUCUAAGUCUUGUUAACAAUUAAUUUAUAAUGAUGACCAUAUGACGUGUUGACUACUAUAUACAUAGCUUAGACGGUGAUAUCCUCGUGGAAUAAAACUUAACCAGAAGUGGCAUCGACCCAGUGGUUGUAAAUAGACUCAUUAUAGAUACCAGUAUUGCAAUUUUGUAUUUGCGCCAGACGCGUGUUUGUAUAUGAGUUUUACUUGAUGUUUAAUUUUCAUGUAAAUAAGUGGCAAGUAUUAACCCUGCCUUUUAUAAGUUGGAAAAUGUUUUAUCCUUUGUAAAAUUAGAUAGUCAUAUUAAUAUGACGUUUUCUUUCAUAGAGAAAAGAACUUUUUUUGCUGUGAUAAUACCGAAAAGAAAAAUGGAACAUGCACUGGUAAGUUUGUGUUAAGUUUUUAAGUUGAUAGACGAACAAAUGUAUGCAUCACUACUUUAUUUUAAAAUAACCUCUUUUAAGCUCUCAUUGUGUUAAUUUAUAAUGUGUUUAUCCGCCUAUGAGUGAUAUAAAAGGUGUUUUUUAACCACAUCGAGACGUCUCAUCAUUAUUGGAUUUUUUUAAGAAAAUUCUUUUUUCCAUCACAUUGAGUCUAAAUAAAUGUAGUUUUAUAUAGAGAAAUGUGCACACUUUUACAUUCACGUAAACUUGCCAUACAUUUGGAAACAACAUAAAUCCGCCAUAGAUGAGGAAAUCACAAAAUAUGCCAUAGAUUUGGGAUGGCAUGAUAUCACAUUUACCAUAGAUUAGGAAUCUGCCACUGAUUUAGAACCCACCAUUUAUUUGAGUUUUACAUAUAAUACUUAUGUAUGCCAUUCUUUCCCCUUUCCUUUUCAUGAAUGUGACCUACCAAAUUAGAUUAUUUACCGGGUUUUUAAUAACAUGAGCAACACGACGGUUGUCAAAUGUGGAGCAGGAUCUGGUUAUCUUUCCGGAACACCUGAGACCACCCACCAGUUUUUGGUGGGAUUCGUGGUGCGUCUUUAGUUUUCUAUGUUGUGUCAUGUGAACUAUUAUUUGUCUGUUUGUCUUUUUCAGUUUUAGCCAUAUGGCGUUGUCAGUUUAUUUUCGAUCUAUGCGUUUGACUCUUUUUCAACUACGUGAUUUGCAAAACAUGUAAUUAUUUUCCAAAUAAGUCUAUAACAAUUUGUGAUUUUUUUCUUAGUGUUUUUCAUUUUUACCAUGCUGUUAUUUUGUAAUUGUGAACUACGUUUUUUUUAUAGUUCAACAUGUUCAAUACUGAUUGUUUAUUGUUCUACUUCUUUAACCAAUUUCUUACGGUUUGUUUGGGUUGUUUUAAAAAAAAUCCGAAGAAAUCGAAUUUUGAAAAAUAGUAUGUAUCUCUUAAUUUUGAAAUGUCCUACUAUUUUAAUAUGGUGACUCCUGUUUUCCUUUUAUAUAUUUGAAGAUAAACAAUUUUUGAUCGAGGGAAUAAUUCAUCACCCCAUGAAACUCAAGUAUAUAAUAUUGAAAUUAAAUGAUAUUACACUAAAUUGAAAACAGACAAAAAUAUGAAAUAUGUAUAAGAGUGCGAACAUAAGAAUAUUAAGAAAAAAUCGGAUGUAACAGAAAUUAUUGAUAAGUGACAUUUUUGUCUGAACGGACAUACAGUUUUCUCGUUUGAAUUGUUUUACAUAUUCAUUUCGGGGCCUUUUAUAGUUGACUAUGCGGUCUGGGCUUUGCUCAUUAUUAAAGGCCGUACGGUGACCUAUAGUUGUUAAUUUCUGUGUCAUUUGGUCUCUUGUGGAGAGUUGUCUCAUUGCCAAUUAUACCACAUCUUCUUUUCUAUAUUAAAUUGUUUUAUUGUUGUUUGAUUUACGAACAGGCGGGUUUUCAGAAUAUGUAAUUCCCUUUUUGGUAAUAUUUUUCUCUCCUUCUCAAAUACUUGCACUUUCAACCAUAUAUUUAUAAGGGUUAGAAAAUUGAUAGAAGUUAUUUAUCAUGUACGACAUUUGAAAAGGUGACAAAUAAAGAUCUACUUAUCAACCAAUUAAGAUAAUGUAACGAGUCAUUUUGGUCUCUUGUUGACAGUUGUCUCAUUGGCAAUUAUACCACAUCUUCUUUUAUUAUAUAUACAUAUGUUAAAUCUUAACAUGCACCGCAGAACUAAAAGUAAAAGUUGUAUAAUCAUAUGACGAAUCCGCAACAAUAUGAAUGAGAUAACUAUCAAGAACAAUUUGAUGUGUUGGCUGAGUUCCGUGAACCAUAUAAAAAAGUUAAUGAUUCAAAAUUGUUGUGUCUGGUGUUAUCAAAAUGUUGUGAACGCAUGAUAUGGAAUCAAUGCAUACAAAUUUUUGAGUGAAAAUGUGACCUCAUAGCUUACCAAUGUAAUAUGCAUAAGGUGGUUCCGGUACCCGAGGCUAAACACUUAAACAUGCAAAAUCUCCCAUUGAAACACUAGCUUUACCACUCUGAUGGGGAAGAACCCACGAGAUUACAAUUACCGGUAAAUAAUAAAUAGAUUAAAAGACUGUGCCCCUUGCGACCUUGUCAGUAUCUGUUUUUUUUUCUUUCAGUUAAAUUUAAAAAAGAAAUGUGCUAGUGAUCUAGAUAAAAUAAGCAUAUUAUAAAUUUAAAGUGGUCUUAUAUACAUGUAUGUUAGGUAUAUUGUCGUGAGAGAUCUUCGGUCUAGAACGAAUUUAUAAACUUUUAUAGAAUAUUCAGUCGUUUUUACCCUUUUAUGGUUAUAACAUAAAUUGUAUGUGCCAUCAUGUAAAUUAUGGGUUUCAAAUAAUUUAGGGGUAAUUUCUCAGUGAUACUGUCGUUGUCUCUGAUGCUCAGCUUGUUGGUGAAGGUUUCGUGAAAACGUAAAGAUGCAUGUCGGUAUUCUGAUGGCACAAGGUCACUAGCAAAUUUGAGGACAUCUACGGCGUUUGGCCACAUCACAAUUCAAGAUGUUUUUAGUUUUCAUGGUUCAUUUUGUAUCAAUUAUAGACAGCAAAAACCUAAUUCUCGCCUAUAUAUAUACAUUUCUUUAAACAUAACAGAUGUCCUAUAAUCGUCCAAUGGGGAAUUUAAGCCUAGGUUUACUAUGCCUUACUCAGAUGACCAUCAUUUCAUCAAUAUGUUUAAUCCACUAAAGAUGGUAUCUUUUACAUGUGUAUACCAAAAUUGUCAAUGUUCUCAACAAUUUCUUCUGCAAAACUCCGUAAAAAAUUACUUAUGUAGCAAAGAAGUUUAUCUUUUUCGACUUCUAAUGCCUUCCCAAACUCAUUUGAAAUAUUCAACAAUUGAAAAAUGUCAGACUUACACUGUGUGUGUAAUGUUAGGGUAUUAUAAUUCAGUAAAUACAUAAGUAGUUAUGAUUAUGUUUGAAAACGCAUCUUUCCUUAAUCUUUGGAAUAAUGUUUAUAAAUGAGAUAGGUCUUGUCAUUUGAUGAGUCUUUGAUUUUGAGUGUUUAAUUUAGAAAAAAAUUUCGGCGAAAGGUUUUUAUGAGCAGCUAUGUUCAAUCAUCUGUUGAUGCUGUAUCCUUGUAGAAGAUAACAUAUAUCAAUUUGCUUUCCGAAUUAUGUCUGAUACAUGUAUAUAUUUGUCGGGUGGAUUUUGAUCCUGUCGUUUUUGCAGUGCCAUUUGUAAAGCAUAACUCUUGGUCGUCUGUUGUAUAUCAACAACUACAAAUGCUAUCCCACGAAACGUUCUUAUGGUAGGUUUGUCCAGUUGCUAAAGUAUCAAUCGAGAGAGAACUGAACUGUCAGAAAAACUGUUAUGGAUUUGGAUUAGUAUUAACACUUUACUUAAUUUAUUAAAAAAAGUCAGGUCAUUUAUAACUUAGAAAAUAUUCUAACCGCUCUAACCUUGAACUCAGUAACAUGAGUUCUGGAAUUGUUGUUGAUACAUUGUAAGCCUGUUAUUUUAAAACUGUAUUACUGAACAAUGCAUAGUAAAGAGAAAAUAACAUUCCAUAAAAUUGUCCUUUUAUCAGCAAUUAAAGAAUUUGUUUUAUAGAAUGUGCAGUGGGUUAUUAUUCAAAAGCGGGUCUUCCGUGUGAGAAAUGUCGUUAUAAAGCAUAUGGGCCAAAAUGUGUAGAAAGUUGUGAUUGUACCGUAGAACAGUAUGUAUAUUGUUAAUUAUUUUUAUUUAAAACAAUUUAUGUAUGAUAAGUACACAGUGCCCUAUUACACAACAUUUGUGUAUAUACAUGUACAUGUAUAUAGUACUUAAGUCAGUAAAUUCUUACCGACUAUCUUAACAUGUUGAAUUUAGACUAGUUGCCUAUCAAAAUGAUCAAAGUCUUUAAUAUACAGAAACCUACUUCCAUUGAUCUCUACAAAAACACACUUACUCGCUUUAAAUGUGUUUUAUAAAAAAAAAUCUCAAAAAUAUCCAAUUUCCCGUUUAAAUUCAAAUUGAAAAGUCCCUAAUCAAAUGGCAAAAUCAAAAGCUCAAACACAUCAACGGAAUGCAUAACUGUCAUUUUCCUAAAUUGUGAACCAAAAAAGUUGAUUAAACCUGGUUUUAUAGAUAGCUAAACAUCUCACUUUUUGACAGUUGCAUUAAAUUUCAUUAUUUUGACAAUGAUAUGGAACAGAACAAACAGCCACGUCAUAUGAAUCACAGAUAAACAGAUUCAACAUAAAAGUGCGCAUAUUGUUUAUGCUCUGUCUAAAUAAAUAUGUAUCAGUGGAAAACGGAAUCUAGUAUUUUUCGUUAUUUAGUGUUUUCCAUUUCAUUUUUGCCGCUUGUUUCUUUUAAAUAAACUCAUCAUAGAUUCCAAAAAAAUUAAAAAGGCCUUAAGUUUGAUUAGGAUUGUGUUAAUAAUCUCAGUUGCAAUGAUACAAGGGGUUGCGUUUCAUAUCAUGAUUCCAGUGAUAGAGAAUCGAUUCUUAUGAAAGACAGUUGUUCAUAUUAAGUCCGCAAAAAAGAAAAGUUUUCACGUUCUAAAGAUGAAGUCCGGACAUCCUUAGUUUUUUUUACGGACGCCACGUUAAAGUAUAUAACCGUCAUGGUCUAGGAUAUCUGUAUCACAGGUGACCACAUAUAUAUUCCAAUUACCGUAGUCACAUCUCACUGUUUCUGAAAUAUUUACACUUUGUACUUUAUAUUCAGCUUAAAAAAAUUAUUUGCAGAUGUGAUCAUGUGAGAGG
rnacentral:lncRNA from 1 species